rnacentral:misc_RNA from 1 species
AACGCAUAUUGCGGUCGAGCCUUCUGGCGAGACCAUGUCUGCCUCAGCGUCGUUGUGACCCUCCAACUCCCCUGGGGAGUUGGGACUUGGCUUUCCCACUGCUUACGUGGUGGGUCAGCUGAAGUACAGAGACAAGCACAAGGACCGUGAAACGGCACCAGCAAGGUAGGUAGUCUUUCUACUCCAGCUGGCUGCUAGGGUCACUGUGCGCAUGUCUGCAGGAAACAACCACUUUUUCGACCUGAGAUCAGGCAAGGCUACCCGCUGAACUUAA